rnacentral:rRNA from 1 species
UACGGAGGGUGCAAGCGUUAUCCGGAUUUAUUGGGUUUAAAGGGUCCGUAGGCGGAUUAAUAAGUCAGUGGUGAAAUCCUAUCGCUUAACGAUAGAACUGCCAUUGAAACUGUUAGUCUUGAGUGAGGUUGCAGUGGCUGGAAUGUGUAGUGUAGCGGUGAAAUGCUUAGAUAUUACGCAGAACACCAAUUGCGAAGGCAGGUCACUAAGCCUCAACUGACGCUGAUGGACGAAAAGCGUGGGGGAGCGAACAGG